GACGAACGCUGGCGGCGUGCUUAACACAUGCAAGUCGAGCGAGGCCCUCCUUCGGGGGGUGCCCUAGCGGCGAACGGGUGAGUAACACGUGGGCAACCUGCCCUCAGCUCUGGGAUAACUCCAAGAAAUUGGUGCUAAUACCGGAUGUGACCGCUGACCGCAUGGUCUGGUGGUAGGAAAGAUUCAUCGGCUGAGGAUGGGCCCGCGGCCUAUCAGCUUGUUGGNGGGGUCACGGCCCACCAAGGCGACGACGGGUAGCCGGCCUGAGAGGGUGACCGGCCACAC
rnacentral:rRNA from 1 species